AGUAAACAUCGCGGGAAUAUUACGUUUGUUUAUUUCCGAGGAACGAACACAAAACUCCAUUCUGCGUGGAAUGUUCGAGCGAUGAAAAAGAGGCCCUUGACGUACCGUAUUGAUGAUGUUCACAAUCAGCGUCUCUCUGACGGUGGACACGGAGUCGCCGCACGUGUUCUCGGCGUUCACGGCUCCGGAACUUUUGAAAUCGAAUCCGCCCGGUUUAUGGGCGUACACCAGAUUUGACAGAUGACAUCAAGCAGAUAUGACGUCAUCAGAAUCUUUAAGGCUGAAUGAGUUUAGCUCCAGAGCGGAGACGGAAGUGUCUUCUAGGAACUGAUAUGACGUCGUAGGAAACGACGUUAGAACUGGGUCCUACGAGGAAAUGGAUUUUAAAAUAAAUUUCAUUUACAAUUGCAAAAUGGUUUAUAACCGUGUAUUGCUUUCCCCGAGAUUAAAUAAAGAGACCUCUGGAAGCAAAAGAUGAAGCGUUACCACUUUGUUAGGCUUGCUGAAGAAAAUAUGAGAAGAAAACCGCUUUUUUGAUAAGUUUUUGCGCAUUCUCGAGAAAAAAAAGCGUUACAAAAUCUGUUAUUAUUUUUUAAUUUACGCGUGAUGAAUAGCCAUAAAUGAAACAAUAUCUCCUUUAAACAUAUAGUAAAAUUCUUCUUAGAAUCUAUAACAAUUAUUUUGAAAACCGUCAUUUAACCAAACUUUGAAUGAAAAGUUAUUUUUAAGGUCAACCACGAUUCCGGUAUCCUACAGACGUACCUCAUCAACGAUAUUGACGUUGAAAGUCCCGGUGAUGACGUUGACGGGGUUGCCGUCAGUACACCGUAUCGUUAACGUCAACGGCACGGCCUGGUCGUUGAAGUCGAUGGCAGCUUCAGUCACGGUGCUAGAGAUCCUGACUUCAAAUUCUAGGAAUUAAACAGCACAAAAAAUCAUUUGCUUGUGCGCAUAACGAGAGUAUUUCAUCGAAAAAAGAGACAUUAAAAAAAUUACAAAUAAUCACACUUGUCACACAUACUUUCAAUAGCUUAUGAAAAACGAAGAUUUUCAAAGAU